AGCCCCACUCUAUGCAUUCAGAGUCAAGGCCCAUCCGAGAACCCUGGCGGGCAAGUGGAGGGACAGGGUCCAAUGUGCCUGAGGGUCCACCGUGCAAGACCCAAUGCGCACCCUGGCUCCCAGCCCACCUAUCCCCCCCCCACCUUGGGUCCUGGGAAGCUCUGGAGGUGUGGCCCCCAGCUCGAACUUGCAGGGAACCUCGUGCGCCCGGGGGCUCUGUAUGACUAGGGCACGCCUUUCCGGGACCACAGAAACCGGUUAAACAGACUGCACUCCCCCCCGCCCCCUCCCCCGGGCCUAUCAGCCUUCCGGAGCAAGGGGACUCUGCCAUCAGCCCCUGCCGUCCCCUAGAGCGCCUACACUACACCUCUCUUUUCAACCCUUUACCAUUUUCGAAGAGUAUUUUUCGAGAAGCAAUCAGGGUACAUUUCCUCCCUGGGACCUGGUACUAACAGAUGAAGCUGGGCAGUCUGGCUAACGAGCCCUAGGAUCUGCCUCUGUCUUCUCAGUGCUGAGGAUUACAGCUCGCCUAGCAGGAGAGGCUCUGCCUAAGCAUGCGUGACGCUCUGAGGAUCCCCAGCACCAAACAACGACAGCAUCAACAGAAAACACCAGAGCCACCUGGGAAAGGGGAAAGUUCUGACCCGGGAAGGCAAGCCGAAGGCUGAAGAGGAAAUGUCACUGGGCAGUGACCAUAAUCAUGACUAAAGUUUUCGACAGUCGUGGUGGCUGGCGUGUGCCUGUAAUGCACUCAGGAGGUGGAAGCAGAAGAUUGCAGGCACAAGGUAAGCCGGAUUCCCACUGUGACACUCUGUCUCAAAAAGCAAAAAUUUAGCUGGGCAUCAUGUCACAUAAUAUGCUGGGAGCACUCAGGAGGCACAGCCCUGAGCACAGUCCUGUGUUUGAAUUCCUCCUAGACGAUACAGCAAGACCCUUUCUUAGGAAAAGAACAAAGCAAAGUUUUUCUUCAAACACUGUCAGUGGAUGCUAACACUAUGGGGUGAAAUGUUGGCACUUCUGUAUCAACACAAUCAGCAUCAAAUCCUCCACACACACAAAAAAAUAUUUGGUUUUCUUUUGGAAAGCUGGCGUCAGAAGCAAGAACUCCAGCAUGGUAGACAAGUUCUGCAAAUGUUACAGAACUGUGUCCUGAACCUCGUAAAGGAUAUUUAAUAGUUAUAAAGGGAAGAGGAGUAACUUCACAGUGAGAAAGUUAGCAAAUAACUAACUUCAGCUAUGAUAAAGCUGCUAUGCUAAGUGUGGACUCAUGGUUCCAGCUGCUUGGGAGACUAAGGCCGGAGGAUAACUUGAGCACAGGACUAGACUGGGCAACACAGCAAGGCCUCUAAUUUAACACACUUAGGGGUAGACAAUAGAUUCUGUAUGCUUCUACAGAUGAUCCUCUGAGAGCCGUGCAACUUCCCUUCUGAGACACAGCUAUCCAAAAUUAGCAACUGGAAUCUAAUUAGAAGGAAACAACAAACAACCUAAAAUUCAGGGACAUUCUAUAUAACUGGCCUGCUCGCUCCGUAAAAAUACUAAUGGGUCCUUUUGUGGUUCAUAAGCUUGAUGAUUGGGUUUUUAUACCACAUGUGAGCUCUCCCUGGAGCCUUAUUAUGUGGAAACAUGACUCAUCUGACAUGGAAAAUGUAUUAAGAUAAUAAAAGGUAAAGCCCAAGAAACUGCUCCAGAUUAAAGAGACUUAAAAAGAUGUAAUUUAAUAUAUUCACUGAAUUGGAUCAGACCAGGAACAUGCAUGUGUAAACAUACAUAUGUGCACACAAAAUAAAUGUAUAAAAAAUGUAAAGAAAAACAAGGGAGGUGAAAUGUCCUUUGUUUGGCAGAGUCUUGCUUAGCAUACAUAGUUCCCUGGGCUCCAUCCCAGCAUUGUGUAAAUCUGGGGUCGUGGAGCACACCUGUAACCCAGGAGGCAGGAGGUGAGGCAGGAGGGUCAGGAGUCCCAAACCAUUCUUGGCUACAUAGCAACU